CCCGAGGUGCUAGACACUUCUGCAGGGUUGGCCAUGGGAGGAUGUUAAGAUUUAAGUUUUAUAUAUAUAUUGUGAUGAAUUUAAAAAAAAUAUGAUUUUUGAUAUUAGGUUUUGCGAGGAAUUUGUGAGAUUAAUUGGAUUUGUUGUGGAUCGCGUUCGAAGUAAGUAAUGAAUUGCCUUCUCUAGACUCUUCAUUUAUAUAAUAUUAUUUUUGCAUCGAAUAAAUUGUUAAUGAAUUUAUAUGUGAUUUAUGAAUUUUACGAGAUGAUGAUUUAAAUGAAAAAUAGAUAUAUGAAUUAGAAUAAUAUUUUUGGAUAUAUCUACUGUUCUUGCAUCGUAUAUGCAUAUUUAGAUCGGAAUAUGAUAUAUCUAUUAUGUUACAAAAGAAUUUUGAUGUGCAUCAAAUUUGGAACUCUCAGCCUGACUAUGUUUUGGACCCUGCCAAUUGGGGGUUAUGCAUUGGCAAUUCUGGCCUCACCACAGGAUAUAAGUGUGGUAUUCUAGCCCACUCCGCAGGGUAUAAGUGCAGUAUUCUGGCCCACUCCGCAGGGUAUAAGUACGGUUCUGUUUUUGGCUCAGCCACAGGGUAUAAGUGUAGUCGUAGUUAAAGGCUGUUGAGUUGAAUGUGAUUUGUUUUGAAUCAGAUUUACAAUUAUGUAUAUGGAUAUUUGAAAGAUACGGAUUUUAAUAAAUUUGUGUUUGAAAAGAAAUUGAUUAUGUUAUUAUGUUGACUCAUUGUAAUUUGUAUAUAUAUUUUAUGUUAUUAUAUGAAUUGUCUAGUUAAGGUAUGUAUUACGUACUGGGUUGUCUAGCUCAUUAUACAAUUUCUUGUUAUUUUACAGCUUCCGAGAACUAACCUAUCAGGGUUGCAAAAUGGGAGAGUAAAUAGAAGAACUGUGGCACAAGUUAUCUUAGAUUAGGAUUUAUUUAAAUUGAUGUUUUAUCUUUAUUGUUCCGCUGCGUAUUUAGAACUGUGAGACUUUAUGACUCGAGUUAGUUAAUGGAAUAAGAUUGCAUUUAUUUAGUUGAAUUAUUUGAUAUAUUGAGAAUUUGGUUAAGAUGCCUUGCAUACUCGUGGGAAGAGUUUUCUACGGAUGUGCGGC
rnacentral:lncRNA from 1 species